UACGUAGGGUGCAAGCGUUGUCCGGAAUUAUUGGGCGUAAAGAGCUCGUAGGCGGUCUGUCGCGUCUGCUGUGAAAACUCAGGGCUUAACCCUGAGCUUGCAGUGGGUACGGGCAGACUAGAGUGCGGUAGGGGAGAAUGGAAUUCCCGGUGUAGCGGUGAAAUGCGCAGAUAUCGGGAGGAACACCGGUGGCGAAGGCGGUUCUCUGGGCCUUACCUGACGCUGAGGAGCGAAAGCGUGGGGAGCGAACAGG
rnacentral:rRNA from 1 species